CAUUCUGUUCUGCUGUGAGAGUGACUGUGUGGAGAAAGGAGCCUAAUAAAAGAAAGCUGCUCUGUUUGACUCAACGAUUUUGGUGUCCUCCUCAUUCACCCCUCACCUCAACACAACGCAACGCAGAGACAUUUAGGGGAGCGCAGAGACAUUUAGGGGAGCACACCGACGAAGAGGGUUACAUAUAUAUAGAUAUAUACAUAAUGUUCAAUUGUUUUUUUUUUUUUUCUCUUUUCAGCCUUUUAGACGCUUUCUCAACAUCAACCCUGAAUGUGCAUCAAAAACCAAGAAGGAAAAGUGACUUAAAAGAAGACUGGACAUGUUGUGUACAAAAAGAACAUGGUAUUUCAACAAUCACUCAUGGAGUCUAACCGGGACUGAUGCCUGUCAACACAGUUUUAGAGAUCGUCUUUGAGGAGCUGAUAUCUGAAACUUUCAAAUUUGCACCGCAUCGAUAUCAGUCUUAUCACAGUAUCUCCCAAGAUCUUUCCAGAUUCUAUCCUGUCUGAUAGCCCAGUAUCUGAACCUGGUCAAGCGUCAUAAACUCCAUC